rnacentral:rRNA from 1 species
CCUACGGGAGGCUGCAGUGAGGAAUAUUGGUCAAUGGCCGGAAGGCUGAACCAGCCAUGCCGCGUGAAGGUCAGUGCCCUAUGGGCGUUAAACUUCUUUUGUGCGGGAGCAAUAAUGGUCACGUGUGGCCAGACGAGAGUACCGUACGAAUAAGCAUCGGCUAACUCCGUUCCAGCAGCCGCGGUAAUACGGGGGAUGCAAGCGUUAUCCGGAUUUAUUGGGGUUUAAGGGUGCGUAGGGUGUGAGGUAAGUCAGCGGUGAAAUGCCCCCGCUUAACGGGGUGAAGUGCCAUUGAUACUGCCUUGCUGGAAUGCGGAUGCCGUGGGAGGAAUGUGUGGUGUAGCGGUGAAAUGCAUAGAUAUCACACAGAACACCGAUUGCGAAGGCAUCUCACGAAUCCGCGAUUGACGCUGAUGCACGAAAGCGUGGGUAUCAAACAGGAUUAGAUACCCCAGUAGUC